rnacentral:rRNA from 1 species
GACGUAGGGUGCAAGCGUUGUCCGGAUUUAUUGGGCGUAAAGAGCUCGUAGGCGGCUUGUUGCGUCGACUGUGAAAACCCGCGGCUUAACCGCGGGCUUGCAGUUGAUACGGGCAGGCUAGAGUUCGGUAGGGGAGACUGGAAUUCCUGGUGUAGCGGUGAAAUGCGCAGAUAUCAGGAGGAACACCGGUGGCGAAGGCGGGUCUCUGGGCCGAUACUGACGCUGAGGAGCGAAAGCCAGGGGAGCAAACGGG